rnacentral:rRNA from 1 species
UGCCGCGUGUGUGAAGAAGGCCUUCGGGUUGUAAAGCACUUUCAGACGUGAGGAAAAGCUAAGUAUUAAUACUAUUUAGCCCUGACGUUAACGUCAGAAGAAGCACCGGCUAACUCCGUGCCAGCAGCCGCGGUAAUACGGAGGGUGCAAGCGUUAAUCGGAAUUACUGGGCGUAAAGCGCGCGUAGGCGGUUAUUUAAGUCAGAUGUGAAAUCCCUGGGCUCAACCUAGGAACUGCAUUUGAUACUGGAUAGCUAGAGUAUGGUAGAGGUGAGUGGAAUUUCAGGUGUAGCGGUGAAAUGCGUAGAGAUCUGAAGGAACAUCAGUGGCGAAGGCGACUCACUGGGCCAUUACUGACGCUGAGGUGCGAAAGCGUGGGUAGCAAACAGGAUUAGAUACCCUGGUAGUCCACGCCCUAAACGAUGUCAACUAGGUGUAUGGAACUUUAUGUUCUGUGUAUCGAAGCUAACGCGAUAAGUUGACCGCCUGGGGAGUACGGCCGCAAGGCUAAAACUCAAAUGAAUUGACGGGGGCCCGCACAAGCGGUGGAGCAUGUGGUUUAAUUCGAUGCAACGCGAAGAACCUUACCUGGUCUUGACAUGUAGCGAACUUUCCAGAGAUGGA